GAGAAAUUUUGGGCAUGAAUUAACAGAAUUAAACUGUUUGUCAUCAAAAGGUGAGUGUACAAAAUCAGGAGUAUAUUUGCGUAAAAAAUCAUUGACCCAUGAUAUAUCUUUAAAAUGAUUUUGACGAUGUUUUGAAUUUAGUUUUCUCAUAUUUUGCCAAACAGUGGAAAUUGGUGUUAAUCUAUUAAAUUUGGAACAAAAUUCCUGCCACCCCUGUUGUCUUACUUGCUUAAUUACUAACUUUUUAACAGCUUGAACUCUUUUAAAAUUUAUGUAAUUAUCGAGAGUUGGAUUUUGUUUAAACCUAAGGUAAGCCGCUUUACUAUCAUUGACAGCUGUCGCACACCUGUUAUUCCACCAAGGUACUGCAAUAUGUUUGUGCCUCUUUGAAGUAUUUGCACCGCUAUUUGAUAAGUUCCUACGUGGAACGGAACGUUCCACAGCUGUCAAAAUAAUUUUACAGAACCUAUUGUAAUUGUUUAAGGGUUCAUUGACAUCAUACUCGAAAUCCAAAAGUAAUCGAUUAACAGUUUCAGAAUAAAGAUCCCAAUUAACGAGACGUAGGUUUAUACGAUUUAACAAAAGUUUAUUAACUUCAUCUAUAGGAGCAUGUUGUUCACCUGACGGAGUUGAUGAAGAGUUCUUUGUGUUUAUUUUAGUAAAAGUCGGCAGAUGCUGCAACGCUCAGAAUUCUUACAGAAUUUAGCUAAAUGUCCAUACCUCAAGCACCGGUAGCAUUGUUUAACUGGUGGUAUAUAUGGAGUGACAUUGUGGCGCCAACCUCCAAUAUCCAGAUAUUCAGGUAAUACAGAUGCAGCAAAAGUAAUUGUCACGGUUAGAGUUGGCUGUAACACAUAUCCAUGAGUCAAGGUAUUUUUUCUUAAAAUUCUUUUAAUAGCAAUAAUUUUCUUAGAACUCGAUAUCAUAGUAUAUAUUUUUUUAUUAGAUAUAUUUGUAGGUACAUUUCUAAUAACGCCUGUAACUUCUGUUGAAGAAGCAGGAAUACUGGCCUUAAAAUGGUAGUCAUUUAAAAAAGUUUUAUUAUUUAAAAAAGCAUUGGCUAAGUCUGGCUUUUGAAAGUAUACUCCGAUUUUGAAUUUAUUUAUAGAUCUAAGAUAAGUUACCCCUUUAUUAAAUCGUUUUAAACAGGAGGAGAGUGAGAGCAAGUCUCUGGAUCCAAUGGUUUUCUGACUAUCUGAGGAUUCUACAAAGACAACAAAUUCUGUCCCAGGGGAUUCCUCGGGAUAUCUUCUAAUAUAAUCUGUGACGUAGUAAGGUUUAUACUUAUCGACCUUAUCAAUUUCAGAUUCUGAGUCAGUAGAAGUAUCUUCCGAAUAUAUAUCCUUGUCAUUACAAGGUUCAUGGUCUACAUCACCUGAAUCGUCAUCUUUUUUUUUCCUUUUUCUACAACUGCGCUUCCCCAUGAAUGCUAAUUAUAUUACUGUCGCUGAAUUUAGUGAAAAUAUAAUAUUUUAUUCAAUAAUAAGAAUUGAUAGAGAUAGUUUUAAUAAAUUAAUAAAAAAAAAUUAAAAAA